GGUUAUUGACACAGGAGGUUUUUCAGAAUAAUGCAAUCGUAAUCUUAUUUCAGUCUGACAUGCCAGCCAUGCAGAAUCCAGAGUUUCAACACCACUGUGGAUUCCAAAUUGUCCAUGGUCAAUAACAAUUUCACUUUCUAACGGGGUUAUUGAUCGUGGUUGUAGAUGAGUCUCCCACUUGUGAACUAUCACUUGACAUGGACCACCGAUAGUCUUUGGUUCUAAAAAGUACCCUUUGAAGUAGCAAUGCUGAACUGAUACUCCUCUACUGAGUACAAUGGUUGCUUUCCAUAACAUCUUCUUCCACCUGUCUCAUUCUCUGGAAGAAGAGCCACAGCAUUUUGAGGAUUCCAGUUUCCCAAAGCAUCACAGCUUCCACAUAUUGCAAAAACUUCUGGUAAAAGAGUUCCUCUUAUUUCAAAGGUAACCUGAGAAGGUGUCAUUCUGAUGGGUUUAUUUUAUGAUGUCGUGCUGCCGGGUUCGCUAGUCCACGGGUCCGCGUUGCCGCCCCGCCCGAGAGAGAGUACCGCGGGCAGAGGUAUCGGACCCCCGCUGUCGGUGCCUCGCCAGCGCUCCCCAGGGCGGCCAGUCGCGGC
rnacentral:lncRNA from 1 species